UAUUGUGUAUAUUACCUUACAUCAUGCCUCUAUCGCACGGAUUGAAUCCUCAUUUUUAAUCCUUCAUUAGAUAUAAUUUCUUUAUACAUGGAUUGAAUCCUCAUUUAUACAUGGAUUGAAUCCUCAUUUUUAACCUUCAUUAGAUAUAAUUUCUUUUGGUAACAUGAGCAUUUUAUCGCACGUAAACAUCCAUAUCACAACAGAGUCCUCCUUGUCUAUUAUUUUCUUGCUUCUUUGACUCUGUUUUGAAAUCAGUUUUGGAAUCUUUGUAAAUUGGUUUGGUUGAGUUUUGAGUAUUAUAUGUUUGCAGUAUGUCCAGAACGCCUGAACCCAAAUGAUUUUGCACUGCUUCUGUUUAGAUCUUGCAAAGCAUAGAGAAAGAAAUCAAAGCAAAAGUAAAGCGAAGCGAAUGUGAGGUUUGAGGACAUUGGCCUCAAAUGUCGGAGUUCUUGAUCGUUCGGUAUGUUCAAAUUCAUUUGUUUGUUAGUUUUUGAGUCUCCUUUCUACCAUUUGUUUGGAAUCUUUGUAGUAAUAUUGUUCGGUCAGAUAAUGCAUAUUAUCUGUUUGUAGUAUGUCCUGAACCCAAUGAUUUUGCUUUGCUUUCUGUUUUGUUCUUGCUGUUUCUCUGUAACUAUUCAUGGAUACUUCUUACAACGGUUAUUUAUUCUUUUAAAUGAAUUAUUGACACAGAACCCCAAAAAACUCAAUCUGUUUCCUCUACGUCAUUCUUAAAUCUUUUGUUUACGUUCUUAUUAAUUAAGGGGUCUUUGUUCCUCAAAGCGUUACCUUUGAUGGCCGUCCACCAAAGGCCACCCAUCUUCUUCCUCUGCAGUGUUUCCAACAUCGUUUGAAGUUCUUUCCAAUUUCCAUAACCAGAACUGUGUCUUGUGUUUCUUCUUCAACAUCCCAUUCACUACAAGUGUACAACCACCUCCUUCAGCUUCUGAAGCACUCUCUUCCAAUGCUAAGUUUCCUUUGGCUCACAAGGACUCUGCCUUCUGCGGACUGCGGUGAAUUGUCUUCAAAGGACGUUGGGAAAAAGUUUCAGCUUUGUGGGUGGCUGACCCUUCACAGGGUCCAUGGUGGCCUCACAUAGUGACAUUUCUCUAACUCCGGGAUCAUACUGUGAUUGUUCAGGUUACAACCCUUCCAGAUGAAUUUCCAGAUGCGCACUCUGGUUUUCCUUGAUAUUAAAGUAUGUGCAAUUACCAAAUCCAUUUCCCAGGCUUUUACAUAUGCUGAAGCAAUGAACAGACACAGCUCAGACAGGCAGGAACUUAUACUUGUUUCAACGAUUUAUACGCCCUUCAUAAAUGUCUCAUUUUGAUAAUCUAAAUUUGUAUCUCUCACGGGAACUGCCAGUUCACGUGACAUGCAUUCUAUGCCAAUUUUGGGGCCAUUGCGUCUAAAUCUGUGAAACAAAGAAACGAGCGAUUUGUAAUCAUGAGGUAGGUUCAUGUUUUGAUGUGUUCAAAUUUGGUUCAAACCUUCUACAUGGACUUGCAUUGCCGCCAUGAUUUUCCUAGUACACAUCUCCAGUUAUUAUUUUAGAUAAGCUUCAUUGCAUGAAAUGCAGUUUAUCCAAAUUAGUACAUAAUAACACUGACUCUCCCUUU